rnacentral:rRNA from 1 species
CGACGCCGCGUGCGGGAUGACGGCAUUCGUGUUGUAAACCGCUUUUAUCGGGGAAGAAGAAUGUGACGGUACCCGGUGAAUAAGCCCCGGCUAACUACGUGC